GAUUAAUAGGGAUAGUUGGGGGCAUUAAUAUUUAAUUGUCAGAGGUGAAAUUCUUGGAUUUAUGAAAGAUUAACUUCUGCGAAAGCAUCUGCCAAGGAUGUUUUCAUUAAUCAAGAACGAAAGUUAGGGGAUCGAAGACGAUCAGAUACCGUCGUAGUCUUAACCAUAAACGAUGCCGACCAGCGAUUAGGAGACGUUGAAUACAAAACACCACCAUCGGCGCGGUCGUCCUUGGCGUGUCUCGGCUUCACGGCUGGGGCGCGCGAGGGCGGUUUAGCCCGGUGGCACCGGUGAAUGACU
rnacentral:rRNA from 1 species